CCUACGGGAGGCAGCAGUAAGGAAUAUUGGUCAAUGGGCGCAAGCCUGAACCAGCCAUGCCGCGUGCAGGAUGACGGCCCUCUGGGUUGUAAACUGCUUUUAUACGGGAAGAACAGCAUCUACGUGUAGGUGUUUGACGGUACUGUAAGAAUAAGGACCGGCUAACUUCGUGCCAGCAGCCGCGGUAAUACGAAGGGUCCAAGCGUUAUCCGGAUUUAUUGGGUUUAAAGGGUGCGUAGGCGGCUUUUUAAGUCAGUGGUGAAAGCCUGAUGCUCAACAUCAGAACUGCCAUUGAUACUGAAGAGCUUGAGUACAGUUGAGGUUGGCGGAAUGUGUCAUGUAGCGGUGAAAUGCUUAGAUAUGACACAGAACACCGAUUGCGAAGGCAGCUAGCUAAGCUGUUACUGACGCUGAUGCACGAAAGCGUGGGGAGCAAACAGGAUUAGAUACCCUGGUAGUCCACGCCCUAAACGUUGAUAACUCGUUGUUAGCGAUAUACUGUUAGCGACCAAGCGAAAGCAUUAAGUUAUCCACCUGGGAAGUACGGUCGCAAGAUUGAAACUCAAAUGAGUAGAGNGNGAGAGNGCGACGGACGACGACGAGGGAGGAGG
rnacentral:rRNA from 1 species